rnacentral:sRNA from 1 species
CAAAUGAAACCCUCACACCCAGGACCAUGUGAAGAUGAAUUACUGUGUUCCACUCAUACAUGGCCAGCACACAGUAGGUGCCCAAUGUGUGCAUGCUCUUGUUAUCAUCAGGUCCACCCUCCUGUCUCCAUCUGCACUACCUCCUCACUUGCUCUCCAUCUCCUCAGGAAUUUUAGAACCACUCAGCUUGUCCUCCUGCUCCUCCCAGCCCUGGGCCUUACCUGGCAUGACCUCUACACAGUCUCAGCAGCUUCCCCUUUUCCCAGAAGCCUCCCUAGAGAGAUCCCCUACCUGUUGUGAGGCAGAAAAGAGAAGAAUAGGAGAGGAAAGAGUCGCAGUGCUUCCCCUACCUGGGGAAGAUGUCUGGGGCCCCAUCCCCUUCCGUCCCUAUCCCCCGUCCUGACUUCCCAAGCAGAAUAUGCCUUUUGCAUAUCACUGCGCGGGGAGGGGCAUCCUCAGGGGACAGGAGCUGCCUGAGAGUUGGAAUCUGUCUCAGCUCAAUCCCAGGAGGCUCUUGGCACACUCUAGUGCUGUGGCCACCUGUGAUGUGGCCCCCAUGUGUCCUUUCAGGGACAGCUGCCAGCGAGGCUGGAGGCUGCUGUAUAUCGUGACUGCCUACCACAGCUGCUCUGAGGUCCUCCACCCACACCUCACUCGCUUCCUCCAAGACAUGAGCCGGACCCCAGGCCUGCCCUUUCAGGGGAUCGCCAAGGCCUGUGAGCAGAACCUGCAGAAAACCUUGCGCUUUGGAGGUCGUCUGGAGCUCCCCAGCAGCAUAGAGCUUCGGGCCAUGUUGGCAGGCCGCAGUUCCAAGAGGCAACUCUUUCUUCUUCCUGGAGGCCUUGAACGCCAUCUCAAAAUCAAAACAUGCACUGUGGCCCUGGACGUGGUGGAAGAGAUAUGUGCUGAGAUGGCUCUGACACGCCCUGAGGCCUUCAAUGAAUAUGUUAUCUUCGUUGUCACCAACCGGGGUGAGUGCCAGGAAGACUGAGCAUGCUGGGCCCAUUCCCAUCCCCGGGCCUUGUGCCAUGUGGGGCCCUCCACCCAGAUUUUAGGGCCCAAGUCAGGUGCCACUUCCUCCAGGAAGCCCCUUGAACCCUAUGUGGAAGGAUCUCUCCCUUUAUCUGUCCCUUUCUGCUUUGCUUAGUUUGCCUCACCUUAUGAUGAGGGCCCUCUCUCAUCCCUCCCUUUGUCCCUCAGGGGAUGCUCAAUGUGAGGACACAGGCUGUGUCCUCGAGGAGAUUACAUCCUGGGAAGGUUUCCAUUAAUAGCGCUGCACUCCUGGAACCUAUAGAUGCAAGCCUUCUUUCUUGCCUUUCAUGCCUUAAUAAUAGCCAGAGAAGCCCCCCCCGAGGUGUCACUAGCCCCUCUCGAGGGCUCCUGGGACCCUAGGUGACCAUCAUGCAUCCCAAAGCCCCUUCCAUCUGCUGCCUGCCCACUCUAGAUCAUGGUCUUGCCUCCUGUCACCAGCUGGUCAGCUCCAGCAACCCCCAGCCAGCUCUCCCUACCGCUGCCUCAGCCCUCAGCCAUGUGCCAUCAGCCCUGCCUGCCCAAGUCCAGCUAAGACAUUAGGGGAGAAUGGCAGGUAACAAAACGGUCCUAAUAACUGAUAUUUAUUGAACGGAUGCUGUGCCCCAGGUACAAUUCAGAGCAUUUCAGGCUGGGUGUGGUGGCUCAUGCCUGUAAUCCCAGCACUUUGGGAGGCUGAGGCAGGUGGAUCUCUUGAGGCCAGGAGUUCCAGAGCAGCCUGGCCAACAUGGCGAAGACCCAUCUCUACUAAAAAUUAGCCAACCAUGGUAGUGCGCACCUGUAAUUCCAGCUACUCAGGAGGCUGAGGCACAAUAAUCACUUGAACCUUGGAGGCGGAGGUUGUAGUGAGCCAUGAUCAUGCCACUGUACUCCAACCUAGGUGAUGGAGUGAGACUCUAUCUCAAAAAAAAAAAAAAAAAAAAAAAAGCCAGGCGUGGUGGCUCACACCUGUAAUCCCAGCACUUUGAGAGGCCGAGGCGGGUGGAUCACCUAAGGUCGGGAGUUCGAGACCAGCCUGAGCAACAUGGAGAAACUCCGUCUCUACUAAAAAUACAGAAUUAGCCAGGCAUGGUGAUGUUUGCCUGCUACUCGGGAGGGUGAGGCAGGAGGUUGCAGUGAGCUGAGAUCAUGCCAUUGCACUCCAGCCUGGGCAACAAGAGCGAAACUCCAUCUCAAAAAAAA